GGUAGCACAGGAUCCUGGGCUGUGUCCCCUGUGCCCUGGGAUCCGGGGCCUGCGCUGCUGGAAUCUCAUUCCCGGGCCACGGCUACU
rnacentral:pre_miRNA from 1 species